rnacentral:rRNA from 1 species
AACGAACGCUGGCGGCGCGCCUAAUACAUGCAAGUCGAGCGAGAAGGUGUAGCAAUACACUUGUAAAGCGGCGAACGGGUGAGGAAUGCAUGGGUAACCUACCCUCGAGUGGGGAAUAACUAGCCGAAAGGUUAGCUAAUACCGCAUACGUUUCCGGAACUUCGGUUUCGGAAAGAAAGCAAUACCGUGGGUAUUGCGCUCCUGGAUGGGCUCAUGUCCUAUCAGCUUGUUGGUGAGGUAACGGCUCACCAAGGCUUCGACGGGUAGCUGGUCUGAGAGGACGAUCAGCCACACUGGCACUGCGACACGGGCCAGACUCCUACGGGAGCAGCAGUAAGGAAUAUUGCGCAAUGGACGAAAGUCUGACGCAGCGACGCCGCGUGGGGGAUGAAGGUCUUCGGAUUGUAAACCCCUUUCGGGAGGGAAGAUGGAGUGGUAACCGACUUGGACGGUACCUCCAGAAGCAGCCACGGCUAACUUCGUGCCAGCAGCCGCGGUAAU